GAUGAACGCUGGCGGUAUGCUUAACACAUGCAAGUCGAACGGAUGUCUUCGGACAUUAGUGGCGGACGGGUGAGUAACGCGUGAGAAUCUAGCUUCAGGUUGGGGACAACAGUUGGAAACGACUGCUAAUACCGAGUAUGCCGAGAGGUGAAAGAUUAAUUGCCUGAAGAAGAGCUCGCGUCUGAUUAGCUAGUUGGUGGGGUAAGAGCUUACCAAGGCGACGAUCGGUAGCUGGUCUGAGAGGACGAUCAGCCACACUGGGACUGAGACACGGCCCAG
rnacentral:rRNA from 1 species